rnacentral:rRNA from 4 species
ACGGGUGAGUAACACGUGGGAACGUACCUUUCGGUUCGGAAUAAUUCAGGGAAACUUGGACUAAUACCGGAUACGCCCUUCGGGGGAAAGAUUUAUCGCCGAUAGAUCGGCCCGCGUCUGAUUAGCUAGUUGGUGAGGUAAUGGCUCACCAAGGCGACGAUCAGUAGCUGGUCUGAGAGGAUGAUCAGCCACAUUGGGACUGAGACACGGCCCAAACUCCUACGGGAGGCAGCAGUGGGGAAUAUUGGACAAUGGGCGCAAGCCUGAUCCAGCCAUGCCGCGUGAGUGAUGAAGGCCUUAGGGUUGUAAAGCUCUUUUGUCCGGGAAGAUAAUGACUGUACCGGAAGAAUAAGCCCCGGCUAACUUCGUGCCAGCAGCCGCGGUAAUACGAAGGGGGCUAGCGUUGCUCGGAAUCACUGGGCGUAAAGGGCGCGUAGGCGGACUCUUAAGUCGGGGGUGAAAGCCCAGGGCUCAACCCUGGAAUUGCCUUCGAUACUGGGAGUCUUGAGUUCGGAAGAGGUUGGUGGAACUGCGAGUGUAGAGGUGAAAUUCGUAGA